CUACCUGUACAAGUGAAGCUCUGUGUGCAUGAAGAUCCUCAGUGCUGUGAGUAACGUAACCUGUGAAGUAAACCUGUUCUGUGCUUAUAGCAAUUACCUACCCGUACAAGUGAAGCUCUGUGUGCAUGAAGAUCCCCAGUGCUCCAAUACCUACCUGUACAAGUGAAGUUCUGUGUGAACGAAGAGCCUUCAGCACCGUGAGUAGCGUAACCUGUGGAGUGAACUUGACCUGUGUAUAACACUCACUUACCCGUUCUGCCGAAGGUCCUGAGUGAACGAACAGCGUUUGGUAACGAAGUACUUACCCCUGUCUGACUUUUGUUUGAUUCUGCCUCCAGGAGAAGCGGAGCGCGCCACGGAUUGUUGGGUCAGAGCCCCAAAGGAGCCCCUGCCCCCAGUUCUCAUUCCAAGUGGCCCUGGAGGCAAAGAGGAGACUCAUUAGUUUUAAAUUGCCCUUUCCCCCUUUCCUUUUUAAAUAUUUAAUAAAGUUUAUUUUAAUUAUA